GGGGUUGUAGCUCAGUGGUAGAAUGCUUGCCUAGCACGUGUGAGGCACUGAGUUCGAUCCUCAGCACCUCA
rnacentral:tRNA from 1 species